UACAGGGGGUGCAAACGUUGCUCGGAAUCAUUGGGCGUAAAGCGCACGUAGGCGGUUCGUUAUGUCGGAUGUGAAAGCCCUUGGCUUAACCGAGGAAGUGCAUCCGAAACUGGCGAGCUAGAGUACUAAAGAGGAUCGCGGAAUUCCCGGUGUAGAGGUGAAAUUCGUAGAUAUCGGGAGGAACCCCGGUGGCGAAGGCGGCGAUCUGGGUAGAUACUGACGCUGAGGCGCGACAGCGUGGGGAGCAAACAGG
rnacentral:rRNA from 1 species